CAGGUAAAAUCAUCAAAGCCAUGAGUGCAAUUUCCUGGAAAUACCUAUACUGAUCAAAUGUAUGCCUUGAAUGUAUUGUAUGUGAUUUUGGAUAAAAGUGUGAAUGAGAAUACUUUCUAUGAUUAGUACAACAUAGGAUUGUCAUUUUUGGGGGCCCAAGCUAAUUUUGUAUUUGUCUUUUUUUAUAGUCACCUUUUCUCAGUGCAGAAACUCUUAUAUUCAAGGUUCUUGAUCAAUUUUGAUUAAGUGCAAAUUUGCUUUUUUCUUCAAAAAACAUAAAGCU